UGGAGAAGCAGGGCACGUGCU
rnacentral:miRNA from 8 species